rnacentral:lncRNA from 1 species
AAAAUUGGUUUACCUGCCAAGGCGAAGGUGCAGGGUGAACACGUGGAUAAAUGUUUUGCAGAUCAAUGCACAGCUUGUGAGAAGGUAACUUUAAUUAAUUUGGGAUACUUUUGGAGUAGGUUGUGUGUAGAGUCACGAAAGCAGCCAUUAGGGUACACCGUCUAUCAGGAGCGGAGUUAGAAUACGAUCUACGGAUUUGGCCGAACUUAGUAGAUUUUGUCCAAACUAUGUAUUUGUUUUAAGAAAUUCAUCGAAUAUGUAUAAUUUAUUAAUUUAAAAUCCAGUAACUUAAACAAAUUAGAUUUUCGAACCCAUAAACUUCAAAUUCUGACUCUGCCUCUACUGUCUACAUUACACCCUUCGGGUGCGACCCUUCCCCAAACCCUGCGUGAACGCUAGAUGAUUUGUGUACCGGGUUGCGCUUGUUUUUACUUUUCGAAUAUUUGUUAGCCAGUUUAUAACUGACUAUGAAAAUGAAAUUUUAAAAAAUUUGCAGGAAGCUGUGAAUGUGUCACUUGGAAAUUUGCUGACCUAUCCAUUUGUGAGAGAAGGUUUGGUGAAGAAAACACUAGCAUUGAAGGGAGGUCACUAUGAUUUCGUGAAUGGAGGAUUUGAGCUGUGGGGA